rnacentral:rRNA from 1 species
GAUGAACGCUGGCGGCGUGCUUAACACAUGCAAGUCGAGCGAUGAAGCACCUUCGGGUGUGGAUUAGCGGCGAACGGGUGAGGAACACGUGAGGAAUCUGCCUUUCACUUCGGGAUAACUCCGGGAAACCGGGGCUAAUACCGGAUAUUUUCAACUGGCGGCAUCGCCGGUGGAAGAAAGUUUUUCGGUGAGAGAUGACCUCGCGGCCUAUCAGCUUGUUGGUGAGGUAAUGGCUCACCAAGGCGACGACGGGUAGCCGGCCUGAGAGGGCGACCGGCCACACUGGGACUGAGACACGGCCCAGACUCCUACGGGAGGCAGCAGUGGGGAAUAUUGGGCAAUGGAGGAAACUCUGACCCAGCGACGCCGCGUGAGGGAUGAAGGCCUUCGGGUUGUAAACCUCUUUCAGCAGGGAAUAAGCGAAAGUGAAGGUACCUGCAGAAGAAGCACCGGCUAACUAUGUGCCAGCCGCCGCCGUAA